rnacentral:rRNA from 1 species
UAAGGAAUAUUGGACAAUGGACGCAAGUCUGAUCCAGCCAUGCCGCGUGCAGGAUGAAGGUCCUCUGGAUUGUAAACUGCUUUUAUGGGGGGCGAAACGUAGGGUUUCUACUUUAUUUGACGGUACCCCAUGAAUAAGCACCGGCUAACUCCGUGCCAGCAGCCGCGGUAAUACGGAGGGUGCAAGCGUUAUCCGGAUUUACUGGGUUUAAAGGGUGCGUAGGCGGGUUGGUAAGUCAGUGGUGAAAUCCUGCAGCUUAACUGCAGAACUGCCAUUGAUACUACUGAUCUUGAAUCAUCUGGAGGUUUGCGGAAUAGGUCAUGUAGCGGUGAAAUGCAUAGAUAUGACCUAGAACACCUAUUGCGAAGGCAGCAGGCUACGGAUGCAUUGACGCUGAGGC